GCGUCCGUAGCUCAGUGGAUAGAGCAAGCGGCUUCUACCCGCUUGGUCGGGGGUUCGAAUCCCUCCGGGCGUA
rnacentral:tRNA from 1 species